rnacentral:lncRNA from 1 species
ACAGAUGAAGGAUUGCCAGUUGAAGAUCUAAUGUCAUGGCUUGCCAAAAUAUCAGAUUCCAAGUUCUUCCUUCUACUAUUCUCCAACUUUGAAGAAGACAUCUGGCAUUUUACACUUUCUGGGGGUUUCUUAGGCCGCCCUUGGGAGGUAACUUCACCAUACGUGUCUGUAAGCUCGGGGCUAGAGCGUGUCCGUGCAAACAGAUAUCUACCCUUAAUGUCACCAAUCAUUGUAUCAGGUUUAAAACUUCUGUUACCUUUAUCAUUAUUUGCAUUCUGAUUAAUACUAGCAUCCCUUCUACCCUGAUCAAAAGCCCUGGUGCUAUUCAAGUUACCAUAGUUUUUUUGGGUUUGUGUAUGAGAAACUGUGGAAACAGAACUGACCCUAAAAGUACUUUCAACAGGACUAUUAAUAUGCUGAGAUGAAGCACUACCAUGCGAUCUGUCAACUUGAGAUUCACAACCAAUGGAAAUCUCAUUUCUUUUGCCACCUAAACCUGAAUUGUUGUGGAGAUUCUCAGGCUCAUGUUGAUGGUCUCGAUUUGACAAUCGCAAGCGCCACAAGUCAUUCCUUGGUGCAUCCGGACGAACACCGCUACCAUGUCUAUCCCAGGUAUUCAUAAAAAACUGAUUUACUUCAUAAUAUAAGUCCUCAUUGGGACAAUCAAGUAACCUUGCCAGCCUUUUAGCCCCAAAUGCAAAUGCACUGCGUAUCCUAAAGAAGUUACCUGGCCAAUUUAUAUAGACAGAAGGAAACAAAUUACAAAAUUUCAGAUAGUAGAAAAUCAGACCAAGAAUUACAAGCACAUCAAAAGCACUACAAUCUCAUAGCCGAUACUCCAUAUUUGUGCAACAAUAUAUUGAACUCAGACCAUAUAAAUGUAUUUGUGCAUGCUUAUAAGUCUAUGCUCCAUACCAUUUGCUUCACAGAUGCAGUGAAUUUUGCCAAAAUGUGUGAAGGUUAUCGACGGCUACACUAAAAAUAGGAUCAUACAAAGAAUAUAAAAGAUGUUUUGAGGUAAAAAUAGAUUAUUUGAAGGUUAUUAACAACUACAGUGGACUCAUUUAGAAUUCCAUCCCAAAGAAAAAGUGAAGCCAACGAAGUCACAAACACAAAACACUUGUAAACAAAUAAUCUUCAUCAUAAUGCCUAUUAUGCCCUCUACAUUUAUUACAAAUAUUUAAAUAUGGAAACUCCAUAGUUAAUAUAAACAUAUCCAGGAUCAUCUGAGCGUGACCCCUUGGGCGUAGCUCUGCUGGCCGCGUAUGCAUUUUGCACCCAUGGUUGCCCAAGUUUGAAUGAUAAUAUGGAAAGGGUUGAUGUGGAUAAGGUUCUCAUCCCCAUCCAAACCUUCUAAAAUUUUUUAAAAUAAAUUACUGUGUGUAUUCCAUGUAUUUAUUCUGCUCAUGGUUUUAUUUUAUUUGUUAAAAGUAAGCAUCACCACAAUAAGUGUGGGAGGGUUAGAAAAAGUCACAGGUAACUUCUUGGACAAUGCCCUUCUUGAGAAUAAAUGAACUACAAGAUACCAGAUGCAUAAAGUGAAUCAAUGGAGACCAACAGAGGAGUUCACCUAGUAAAGAAGUGAAAUUUUCUAUUGUGAAGAAAAAUUAAGAAAGUAACCAAGCAAAAACAUAGUAAAAUGUCAUUGAUAGCAUACGAUCAUAAAAAGGUUAGCAUAUAUGAAGCCACAACUAAACUAAAAUAUAACCUUCUUAUGCUAACGGACAUUGGAGCCCAAGCAGGCUACAAAAAAGAACCACAUGAAGACAGUUCAAAUUGCCACUGGAAAAUGGUAGGUAAGAAAUAAAAAUAAGCAAAACAUUAAAAAAUAGGAACAGGCAAUGUUUCAUAGAAUUACAAAGACCAUUCAAAAAAAAAAAGAAAGACAUUAAUUCAAAAUAAAAUUAAUAGUAUCACAUUCACCAUGCCAGAGGAAUGAACAGAUGAUAUCACAGUAUCGCAACAAAUAAUAAGCCCACAAAAGAAAUAGAACUGUAGUAUAUAGUUUGUCAAUGCACCUUUACUAACACUGCGCCCAAGGUUGUUGUUUACACGCAAAGGAUCGAUGACAUUAAAAUGUUUUGAAACAAAGGGUUGGCCCUGAUUUUCUUGGCCACCAGGAAAAACAGCAUAUGUAGAACUACAAGCAUCAAGAAACAAUUUGCUAAGAAGUAACACUCCACCAUCUUUUCGAGGAGGUUCCGCUGUAAAACAGACCAAGAGGAAACAUCAAGCUUGACGAUCACUUAUGCGAGGAUCAAAAUUAGAAUUUUCAAGCAAAAUAUCUAUACCCGUUACAUCUGGAAGCGAACUGAUGGGUACAGGACCCCAAAGGCUUAGACAGAAGUUGUCCCAGUCAAACUUGCUAAAAAACUCCAGAAAACGAUAAAGGACCUACAAGUGGAAAGAAAAAAACUAUCAGCCUACUAAAAGGACAAAUGUAUGAAAAUAGUGAGAAAAUGUUCACAUAGCCACCUCAAGCGGACCAGCAAAAGAAUUGUUGAAAACAUGAAAUAUGUAAAGAACCAAUGUCUCCAAGGCAUAUGUUGAUAUAAGUCCAUGGUGAGCACCCAAUAUUCGGCUUUCAUAAUAACACCAAGCCUUUAUCAGUAUAAUGCUGCGCUUGAAAAGAUGAUUCUGAUUUAUCAUAUGAUCAACCUAUUUAAGCAGAAAAAAACAGUUAGCAAAUAAACAUAAUCAGCAUAAUGGAUUACAAUUUGAAAAGGAAACGUUCAAUGGCAAAGUUUGAAGGAUGCACCACGGACCUCCUCAAGGAAACAAAGAGUGCAUAACCCACCAAGCUGGUUAAAUGAUAUGUCUACCACAAUAUUUUCGACAAGGCACUUUAUUAUCUUUACCUACAAAUAAUAACAGAAAAAGAAUGUUAAAUUCAGUACAAAACAAAAAACUUGAGGCAAAAUGGGCUUAUAUAGGUUACAUUAGAAUUUAUGCAGAAAAUCCACAAACAAGAAUUUAGAUAACCAUAAUAAUAGUAACGGUUUAGUGGACAAACAAGCAUCUUCUCAGAUGAAUAAAUCACCACAAUCAGUCACAACGAAUAGCAUUGCAACUCUGAAACUAAACUUUCAGGGGAUAAAUCCAAACUUAUCUCCAGUUAAAAUAAAUCACAAGUUUGAAAUUUGUAAAACUAUAUCAGAUGGAAAUUUUGCAUCAAAUAAUACAGGGCAUGAAUGGAAGAUUAUGAGCCACAAUCUUUAGAAAACUAAGGUACGAUGAAACUCACUUCUGCCUGAAUGUACUGAACCUCCUUGACACGGAAUUCAGCAUGCUCAUUCUUCUCUUCGUUUUCCAACAUAUCACGCACCUGAUGAGCCCAUGUGUCUUUCAAAGUUUGAUUAUCACUAAAAGCUGUUAAGUCAAUGUCCCCAUCUGGUAAAUAGGUCUUAAGGGGUACAGACCCAAAAGUAAAAACCUGUACACGAAAAUAAUCACUAGUGAAUAAUAACAUAAAAUAAAUGAAAAUGCAAAAGCUUAAAUGAUGCCAAUUUGUUCAACAUCCCAUCACAUUCACUAAAUAUAGGAUGAUUGCAACUAUUUAUGCCUGUGUUUUGACUAAUAAGUUAAACCGGGAUAUACAACAUUAACAAAAUUCAACAUAAUACAUGUUCAUUUGGUCGAAUCAAUAAAGCAACGCAACAUAAACAAAUUCUCACAUAUAUGUAAAAGUUGGCAACCUGACAAGGAACGCAUUUGCUAAUGAGGCGCUGAACAUAAUCUGCAACAGCAUUGCGGCGUUCUUCGGAAAAGGGGUUGGGCUGAAUGCAGGCAAUAAGCUCUGCAGUUCUCUCCUCUGCCUUCAACCAUCGUUCCGGGUCAAGUGCUCGGAUCACUGAACCCGCUUCAUUGGGCAAUAACCCGUUUAAUAAUAGCCCACUUGGUGGCUCUCUCCGCCCUUCAUGCUCUCCCAUGCAAUCCCUUUAAUUUUCGCUUUGCUAAUCUUUACCCAAAAUGUCACCGCCACCACCACCACAACUACUAAAACAACUUGCCGAUCAAACUAAGUUUCUCGAAUUCAAAGUCUAUCAGUUUUGUUUUUAUGCUUGAGUUUCAAUUAUUAUUAACCUUUUUCUUAAGUAAUAGUAAGAAGAAUUUUAGGUUUUGACAUUUAUAUAACCUAAAGAAGAAUACAAAAUUGUAAAUUUAUAACAAACUGAAUAUAUUAGUAAAGAAAAAGGAUAUGCUGAAACCCUGAAGAUAAAAAUAAGAAGCAGAUUAGUGAUACAGAUUGGUUGAGAUUUAUCAAAACCUAAGGAGAAUGUUUUGAAGUUGGAAGCGUCGGCGAAUCAACGAUGGAAAGUAUAAAGAUAGUUGUGAGGAGGAAGAGGGACCAAAUAGCAAAUGUAAAAGAGGGGAUUGGGGCAUUAAAUUAAAUGGUGGAUAGAUUGAGGGGCGGAUCAAAAUUAGGUUUCGGGAAGAAAGACAGAAAGAGAGGGCGUGUUUGGUCACAGGAAUUUGGAAUUGCUUUGUGGAGGCGAGGUUUUGACGAUGAGGAAGUUUGUGCAUUCGAGGGUUUCUAAUUUAUUUUUUUAUUUUUAAAUAAUGAAAAAAUAUAUUUGAGAAAUAGAAACAGAGAGAGAAAGAAAGAGGGAGGAUGAUAGAAUCUGGGAAAGGAACACGGAGAGAGAGCAAGAGGGAGACAGGGCAGACGUAAUAAAAAAUAAAUUAAAUUAAAAAAUUUUUGAAUUUUUUUUCUCUUACCGUUCUUUCCAUUUUCCUUUUUUUAUUUAAGAAGAUUUUCGUUUUUAUUUUUAUUAUUCGCCGCUGCCGUUUUGUACUUUUCCUUAAUGAGUUGGGCUAGCCAAUUGAAAUUAUGCAGGCCCAUAUAAGUGUUGGGCCCAAUUUCUGUUGCAGGCAAUUGAAGCAGGCCGCAGUAGUGAUGGCAAACUACAUAUAUAAAAUAAAAAAACACUACAAGUCCACAUAAAAUAAUAUGGAUUCCAAUAUAUAUAUAUAUAUAAUUUAUUUUUUACUUUAGUUUCAUUUAUGUUUUUUAAUUAAUUCUAUUAUGUUUUUCAUUUAACUUAUAUAUUUUUAUUUAAUUUUAAUUUAGUAAAUAAUUUAAUUAAAAAAUAAUGCGAUAUCCUUUUUUCGGCCGGAUCCGGAUUCGAAUUUGGAUAUGUACGGAUUCUAUAAUUUAGCAUAUGGAUCCACAUUUUUUAAUAUGCGGAUCCAAAUUUUUCCAUAUCUGAAUGUUCCAAAUCUUUGCGAAUUCAGACUGUACCCCGAUAUUUUUACCGUCCCCAGGCCGCAGCCUCAUUGCCUUUAUAUACUUUUUUGUCAUUUUAAAGCCAUAAAUUUAUUUCAGCUGUCUGCGUUUAUAAAAAUCCACAAUAAAUCAUAUGAUAAGAAAUUUUGAAAAUUUAGAUUUUGUUUAUAUUCUCUCACGGGAAUCAUAUCAUCUGAAUAACAUAAGUUCAUUUAAAACUUCGAACUGGAUCAAUUAAUUUAAAUAAAUUGGAUUGUAUUUAAUAGGAUUUUAAAUCAAAUAAUUAUUUUUAAUUACCAUUUCGAUUAUGAAAAUAAACAAACAAUUAAUGGAUGGUGCAGUAUCUUGAUUGAAAUGCCUUGAAGGUUUCUUGUUCUCCUUUUUCUGGAAAUAGCACUUUUGUUUUUCUCACUCUAAAUUGCUAAUUACAAGAAGAUUGUGAAACCGGCCAUAUUGUAAAUUUUGCCAAUGGCUAGGAAAGUCACUGUUGAGAAUGUCAAACUUGUGCUCCAAUGGUUCGACAUGAGCAGACCUUCUCAUAGAAAUUGAAGUACUUGACGCCUCUGACUGAUCAAGUCCCUCAGACAUAUCAAACUUUUGACCUGAAUCACUGCUUCCCAGGCCCUCUUCCCCACUAAAAUGGCUUGUUGAUGCAUCAGAGGUUCCUGACUCAGUUGGGAAGUUGUACAUUGGAAGCAUCGUAAAAAAGCUAACAGGUGGACCUGUGGGAUAAAAGGUCCAGGGAACAACCUCUGAAUUGUCCGGGGACCUUUGUCGAGCACCAUGACCUAAGAGGACAGGAGCAAUCGGAAUCACUGAUUCUGACCCACUUGUCUGAGCUUCUUCAGAUCCGGGCAUUUGAUGCCUUGGAAUAUGUAAAGGAGCAAGGGAUUGAAGUCCUACACUCCUGUCUGGUAUUUCAGACCCCAUGGUUGGAAGCAGAUUCCAUUCUUUGUUGUCUUCAUCAGCCUGAACAGAAGAAUUUUCUGACACACUACUACCUUUUCCAUACACUGGAGAAGCAGUAGAAGCCAUUUUUCUACCCCUUUCUUCUUUAGCUGGUUUUGAGACCUUUGCCGAUGAUCCUUCCCAAGAACUCUCAGAAUUGGUUUUACUUUUCACAGAACUUGUAUGUGAAGCAGGCAUAGAUCUUGAACUGGCAGAUCUGUCAUCAAAGUAAACCUCGUUACCUCUACUAUCUAGAUAAUGGAAAGAAUCUUCAUGAUCUUCCCUCAUUGACUCCCUGGCAUCUUUGUUGAAUUUAUGUGGAGCUCUUCUAGCACUGCCAGAGGCACCUAUCUGAGAUGAAGGAAGAAGGUUAUAACCAGCUGAAGUUGAUUGCUGCUUAUCGUCAGACUGAAGCAUCUCAAAAUUUCCAUUCUCAAGAUCAAAUCCGCCACCAGAACCCCGGUCCUGCUGAUGCCAGUAAUCAUUAUCACCCUCCAUAGGGUUCGUUUCCACAGGACCAAAAUUUUCAUUACCGCGUUCAAGUGAAUCUUCCGAGCUUGAGGUCAAUCCAACACCAGGAAAAAAAUGGGUUAAUGGUGAGGAAACCAAACUUUGGGGAAACUGCAUGUUGGCACCCGAUGCAGUCUCAAUGAAGGGAAGAUUGGUGGGAACCAUUCCACCCAAAUUUCUCUGAGAAUAUCCCAUUGAAGUUAGAAUUGAAUGUGGUAGAGGAAGAGGUAAGUGACCAGAAGCUAAAUUCAGUGGAAUGUGGACCUGUCCAUUAAAACCAUGAGCCAUGGAAGAUGCCAUCAAGUUCACAAGAUCUUGCUCUUCCUGUUGCAUCCCUUGUGUCCCUGCAACAGAAGAAAAUUCUUCACUCAUAGCACCCAAGACCAGAUCAUCACCGUAACUAUUAAACACACUGUUUGAAUCAGCAGUAGCAUCAAAGCUCUGACAGGAUGCAGUGUGACUAACAGAUGAAGGAUUGUCAGUUGAAGAUCUAAUGUCAUGGCUUGCCAAAAUAUCAGAUUCCAAGUUCUUCCUUCUACUAUUCUCCAACUUUGAAGAAGACAUCUGGCAUUUUACACUUUCUGGGGGUUUCUUAGGCCGCCCUUGGGAGGUAACUUCACCAUACGUGUCUGUAAGCUCGGGGCUAGAGCGUGUCCGUGCAAACAGAUAUCUACCCUUAAUGUCACCAAUCAUUGUAUCAGGUUUAAAACUUCUGUUACCUUUAUCAUUAUUUGCAUUCUGAUUAAUACUAGCAUCCCUUCUACCCUGAUCAAAAGCCCUGGUGCUAUUCAAGUUACCAUAGUUCUUUUGGGUUUGUGUACGAGAAACUGUGGAAACAGAACUGACCC